UGCUCUUUCGCUUUGCCCCACAGUCCAGUUUAAUCCGCUAGGAAGAAUAUUUUUAGAGGCACAUCGGACUAAAUCAUCUCCGACUGAGCACACCAUUUCCAAAUGGCCGCCCAGGGUCGUCCUAAAUCCGGCUGCUGCGGUCGGGGACGAGCAGGUGUCCUCGGCUGCGGCGUCGUGGGACUCCCGCGCCUGCAUAACUAGACGUCGGAAGCCAGAAAGGAAACCCGAACACACAGGCACAGUCUUUUACAGACUCUAACAUGAGAAGACAAUGAGGAAAGGCAGAUAUGACAAUGUUGCCAUAGAAUUAAGUCCUCGAAGAAAGAGAAGAAUGAGAACCAACGAAAAAUGAAGAGACCUUAAGAAUCCUUUGCCAGCAGCCUUCUUCUGGUUUAGAGUCCAGCAAGCAGAGACCACAAUGUUUGAAAGAAGUUUCAGCACAUACAGUUCUUCGCAACUCCUUUGGAUCCCUGGAAAUUGUUCAUCUGGUGAGCUGAGAUCAUUAGUGAAAAUUUCCUGUGACUUCUGGAACUUUCUAAUCAUGCCAUGGCUGGUGAUAACAAUAGUGGAUUUUUAUGGGAAUGCUGCUUCUCAAGGAGAAUUUUGGAUUUACUUCCUGCAGGUGGAAACUUUUAUUCUCUAAGUUUAAAAGAAAGUGGAACUAACCGGGAGGAAGAAAGGCUGCAUCCACGGAAGGCAGAGCUCUGCAGAUCUCUUGAUGCUCGAGGCCACCAGAAGACAUUUAUUUGCCUUUUCAUUACUAUCUUUCUCAAGUGAUGUGAACACCUAAUUUGGGGCUGAUAAAGGGAAGAAAGCUGGAUCCAAGGCCUUUGAGAACUCCAAAAGGAAAGGAGGAUUAAUAAAGUAUGUCAUCAGACUGACACCCCAUACAUUGUCCUGUGUUUCAGUUUGAUCUUCAUCAAACACAUCAACUGGAGAACAGCCCUGGACCCAUAGCCACAGGCCUUAAUAUGAUCCAGAUUCUACCUUCAUCGUAGCUCUGAAAAAUACAUUGCUUCUGCCAAGGCAGUUACCUGCCAGGUGCCUCGUUAUGUGUGCUCACAGCACCCUAUUAAAUUUUGGGGCACUAACCACAGUUGUGAUGUAUUUAUAAAAUUAAUCUUUUUUAUAAUUGUUUUCCACACUGUCCUGGAG